rnacentral:rRNA from 1 species
GGGUUGUGAGGUUAAGCGACUAAGCGUACACGGUGGAUGCCCUGGCAGUCAGAGGCGAUGAAGGACGUGCUAAUCUGCGAUAAGCGUCGGUAAGGUGAUAUGAACCGUUAUAACCGGCGAUUUCCGAAUGGGGAAACCCAGUGUGUUUCGACACAUUAUCAUUAACUGAAUCCAUAGGUUAAUGAGGCGAACCGGGGGAACUGAAACAUCUAAGUACCCCGAGGAAAAGAAAUCAACCGAGAUUCCCCCAGUAGCGGCGAGCGAACGGGGAGCAGCCCAGAGCCUGAAUCAGUGUGUGUGUUAGUGGAAGCGUCUGGAAAGGCGCGCGAUACAGGGUGACAGCCCCGUACACAAAAAUGCACAUGCUGUGAGCUCGAUGAGUAGGGCGGGACACGUGGUAUCCUGUCUGAAUAUGGGGGGACCAUCCUCCAAGGCUAAAUACUCCUGACUGACCGAUAGUGAACCAGUACCGUGAGGGAAAGGCGAAAAGAACCCCGGCGAGGGGAGUGAAAAAGAACCUGAAACCGUGUACGUACAAGCAGUGGGAGCACGCUUCGGCGUGUGACUGCGUACCUUUUGUAUAAUGGGUCAGCGACUUAUAUUCUGUAGCAAGGUUAACCGAAUAGGGGAGCCGAAGGGAAACCGAGUCUUAACUGGGCGUUAAGUUGCAGGGUAUAGACCCGAAACCCGGUGAUCUAGCCAUGGGCAGGUUGAAGGUUGGGUAACACUAACUGGAGGACCGAACCGACUAAUGUUGAAAAAUUAGCGGAUGACUUGUGGCUGGGGGUGAAAGGCCAAUCAAACCGGGAGAUAGCUGGUUCUCCCCGAAAGCUAUUUAGGUAGCGCCUCGUGAAUUCAUCUCCGGGGGUAGAGCACUGUUUCGGCAAGGGGGUCAUCCCGACUUACCAACCCGAUGCAAACUGCGAAUACCGGAGAAUGUUAUCACGGGAGACACACGGCGGGUGCUAACGUCCGUCGUGAAGAGGGAAACAACCCAGACCGCCAGCUAAGGUCCCAAAGUCAUGGUUAAGUGGGAAACGAUGUGGGAAGGCCCAGACAGCCAGGAUGUUGGCUUAGAAGCAGCCAUCAUUUAAAGAAAGCGUAAUAGCUCACUGGUCGAGUCGGCCUGCGCGGAAGAUGUAACGGGGCUAAACCAUGCACCGAAGCUGCGGCAGCGACGCUGAUGCGUUGUUGGGUAGGGGAGCGUUCUGUAAGCCUGCGAAGGUGUGCUGUGAGGCAUGCUGGAGGUAUCAGAAGUGCGAAUGCUGACAUAAGUAACGAUAAAGCGGGUGAAAAGCCCGCUCGCCGGAAGACCAAGGGUUCCUGUCCAACGUUAAUCGGGGCAGGGUGAGUCGACCCCUAAGGCGAGGCCGAAAGGCGUAGUCGAUGGGAAACAGGUUAAUAUUCCUGUACUUGGUGUUACUGCGAAGGGGGGACGGAGAAGGCUAUGUUGGCCGGGCGACGGUUGUCCCGGUUUAAGCGUGUAGGCUGGUUUUCCAGGCAAAUCCGGAAAAUCAAGGCUGAGGCGUGAUGACGAGGCACUACGGUGCUGAAGCAACAAAUGCCCUGCUUCCAGGAAAAGCCUCUAAGCAUCAGGUAACAUCAAAUCGUACCCCAAACCGACACAGGUGGUCAGGUAGAGAAUACCAAGGCGCUUGAGAGAACUCGGGUGAAGGAACUAGGCAAAAUGGUGCCGUAACUUCGGGAGAA